rnacentral:rRNA from 1 species
CUACGGGACGCAGCAGUGAGGAAUAUUGCACAAUGGGGGGAACCCUGAUGCAGCAACGCCGCGUGGAGGAUGACGCAUUUCGGUGUGUAAACUCCUUUUAUAUGUCAAGAAAAUGACGGUAGCAUAUGAAUAAGCACCGGCUAACUCCGUGCCAGCAGCCGCGGUAAUACGGAGGGUGCAAGCGUUACUCGGAAUCACUGGGCGUAAAGGACGCGUAGGCGGGUUGGAAAGUCAGGUGUGAAAUCCUACAGCUUAACUGUAGAACUGCACUUGAAACUUCUAAUCUAGAGUAUGGGAGGGGGAGAUGGAAUUAGUGGUGUAGGGGUAAAAUCCGUAGAUAUCACUAGGAAUACCUGAAGCGAGUGCGAUCCCCUGGAACAGUACUGACGCCAACGCGUGAAAGGGUCGAGAGCGAUCUGGAUUAGAUACCCCCGUAGUC